UACGAAGGGGGCUAGCGUUGCUCGGAUUUACUGGGCGUAAAGGGCGCGUAGGCGGACAGUUUAGUCAGAGGUGAAAGCCCAGGGCUCAACCUUGGAAUUGCCUUUGAUACUGGCUGUCUUGAGUACGGGAGAGGUGAGUGGAACUCCGAGUGUAGAGGUGAAAUUCGUAGAUAUUCGGAAGAACACCAGUGGCGAAGGCGACUCACUGGCCCGUUACUGACGCUGAGGCGCGAAAAGCGUGGGGAGCAAACAGGG
rnacentral:rRNA from 1 species